UGGGGAAUAUUGCACAAUGGGGGAAACCCUGAUGCAGCGACGCCGCGUGAACGAAGAAGGUAUUCGUAUCGUAAAGUUCUGUCCUAUGGGAAGAUAAUGACAGUACCAUAGAAGAAAGCUCCGGCUAAAUACGUGCCAGCAGCCGCGGUAAUACGUAUGGAGCGAGCGUUGUCCGGAAUUAUUGGGCGUAAAGGGUACGCAGUCGGUUUAAUAAGUCGAAUGUUAAAGAUCGGGGCUCAACCCCGUAAAGCAUUGGAAACUGAUAAACUUGAGUAGUGGAGAGGAAAGUGGAAUUCCUAGUGUAGUGGUGAAAUACGUAGAUAUUAGGAGGAAUACCAGUAGCGAAGGCGACUUUCUGGACACAAACUGACGCUGAGGUACGAAAGCGUGGGGAGCAAACAGG
rnacentral:rRNA from 1 species